rnacentral:rRNA from 1 species
UGAGACACGGACCAAACUCCUACGGGAGGCAGCAGUGAGGAAUAUUGGUCAAUGGCCGAGAGGCUGAACCAGCCAAGUCGCGUGAGGGAUGAAGGUUCUAUGGAUCGUAAACCUCUUUUAUAAGGGAAUAAAGUGCGGGACGUGUCCCGUUUUGUAUGUACCUUAUGAAUAAGGAUCGGCUAACUCCGUGCCAGCAGCCGCGGUAAUACGGAGGAUCCGAGCGUUAUCCGGAUUUAUUGGGUUUAAAGGGUGCGUAGGCGGCCUUUUAAGUCAGCGGUGAAAGUCUGUGGCUCAACCAUAGAAUUGCCGUUGAAACUGGGGGGCUUGAGUAUGUUUGAGGCAGGCGGAAUGCGUGGUGUAGCGGUGAAAUGCAUAGAUAUCACGCAGAACCCCGAUUGCGAAGGCAGCCUGCCAAGCCAUGACUGACGCUGAUGCACGAAAGCGUGGGGAUCAAACAGGAUUAGAUACCCUGGUAGUCCACGCAGUAAACGAUGAUCACUAGCUGUUUGCGAUACACUGUAAGCGGCACAGCGAAAGCGUUAAGUGAUCCACCUGGGGAGUACGCCGGCAACGGUGAAACUCAAAGGAAUUGACGGGGGCCCGCACAAGCGGAGGAACAUGUGGUUUAAUUCGAUGAUACGCGAGGAACCUUACCCGGGCUUAAAUUGCAGAUGAAUUACGGUGAAAGCCGUAAGCCGCAAGGCAUCUGUGAAGGUGCUGCAUGGUUGUCGUCAGCUCGUGCCGUGAGGUGUCGGCUUAAGUGCCAUAACGAGCGCAACCCUUGCCACUAGUUACUAACAGGUAAAGCUGAGGACUCUGGUGGGACUGCCAGCGUAAGCUGCGAGGAAGGCGGGGAUGACGUCAAAUCAGCACGGCCCUUACAUCCGGGGCGACACACGUGUUACAAUGGCGUGGACAAAGGGAGGCCACCUGGCGACAGGGAGCGAAUCCCCAAACCACGUCUCAGUUCGGAUCGGAGUCUGCAACCCGACUCCGUGAAGCUGGAUUCGCUAGUAAUCGCGCAUCAGCCAUGGCGCGGUGAAUACGUUCCCGGGCCUUGUACACACCGCCCGUCAAGCCAUGGGAGCCGGGGGUACCUGAAGUCCGUAACCGCGAGGAUCGGCCUAGGGUAAAACUGGUGACUGGGGCUAAGUCGUAACAAGGUAGCCGUACCGGAAGGUGCGGCUG